UACGUAGGGUGCAAGCGUUAAUCGGAAUUACUGGGCGUAAAGCGUGCGCAGGCGGUUUUGUAAGUCUGACGUGAAAUCCCCGGGCUUAACCUGGGAAUUGCGUUGGAGACUGCAAGGCUGGAAUCUGGCAGAGGGGGGUAGAAUUCCACGGUGUAGCAGUGAAAUGCGUAGAGAUGUGGAGGAACACCGAUGGCGAAGGCAGCCCCCUGGGCUAAGAUUGACGCUCAUGCACGAAAGCGUGGGGAGCAAACAGG
rnacentral:rRNA from 1 species